AGUGCUAGGAUUACAGGCGUGAGCCACCGUGCCCAGCGAAGCCCCGUGUUUUAACGAGUGAUGUUGUAGCCCUCCUUUGGGCAGAAUAUCUUUCUGUGCAUGGGUUGUGUUCGGUGGUUUUUCCUCUUCCAAAACCCUAACUGUUCCAGAGCUGUACUUCGUACUGGAUUUCGAGGCUGGCAUCCUGCAGUAUUUUGUGAAUGAGCAAAGCAAACACCAGAAGCCUCGAGGAGUCCUGUCUUUAUCUGGAGCCAUAGUGUCCCUGAGCGAUGAAGCUCCCCACAUGCUGGUGGUGUACUCUGCUAAUGGAGAGAUGUUUAAACUGAGAGUUUGCUGUGUUUGGAGGACUCUGUGGUGACACACAUUGCCUCUCUUAUCCCUGGGGUGGGGAGAUGGAGCUGACAUUAGGAAUUACUUGUCCUAAUUAACUGAGGAAUUAAGGACAAAGGAAAGCUGCUGAUGCAAAAGAGAAACAAUUCUGGGUGACUCAGCUUCGAGCUUGUGCCAAAUACCACAUGGAAAUGAAUUCUAAG
rnacentral:lncRNA from 10 species